GGGGCGGCACGUAGCCUAGUGGUUAGAGGGGCGGCAGGAAGCCUAGUGGUUAGAGGGGCGGCAGGUAGCCUAGUGGUUAGAGGGGUGGCAGGUAGCCUAGUGGUUAGAGGGGUGGCAGGUAUCCUAGUGGUUAGAGGGGCAGCAGGUAGCCUAGUGGUUAGAGGGGCGGCAGGUAGCCUAGUGGUUAGAGGGGUGGCAGGUAGCCUAGUGGUUAGAGGGGCGGCAGGUAGCCUAGUGGUUAGAGGGGUGGCAGGUAGCCUAGUGGUUAGAGGGGGGAGGCAGGUGGCCUAGUGGUUAGAGGGGUGGCAGGUAGCCUUGUG
rnacentral:lncRNA from 1 species